rnacentral:rRNA from 1 species
CGAACGGACUCAUAUUGAAACCUAGUGAUGUAUGAGUUAGUGGCGGACGGGUGAGUAACGCGUGGAGAACCUGCCGUAUACUGGGGGAUAACACUUAGAAAUAGGUGCUAAUACCGCAUAAGCGCACAGCUUCGCAUGAAGCAGUGUGAAAAACUCCGGUGGUAUACGAUGGAUCCGCGUCUGAUUAGCUUGUUGGCGGGGUAAAGGCCCACCAAGGCGACGAUCAGUAGCCGGCCUGAGAGGGUGAACGGCCACAUUGGGACUGAGACACGGCCCAAACUCCUACGGGAGGCAGCAGUGGGGAAUAUUGCACAAUGGGGGAAACCCUGAUGCAGCGACGCCGCGUGAGUGAAGAAGUAUUUCGGUACGUAAAGCUCUAUCAGCAGGGAAGAAAAUGACGGUACCUGACUAAGAAGCCCCGGCUAACUACGUGCCAGCAGCCGCGGUAAUACGUAGGGGGCAAGCGUUAUCCGGAUUUACUGGGUGUAAAGGGAGCGUAGACGGCAGCGCAAGUCUGGAGUGAAAUCCCAUGGCUUAACCAUGGAACUGCUUUGGAAACUGUGCAGCUGGAGUGCAGGAGAGGUAAGCGGAAUUCCUAGUGUAGCGGUGAAAUGCGUAGAUAUUAGGAGGAACACCAGUGGCGAAGGCGGCUUACUGGACUGUAACUGACGUUGAGGCUCGAAAGCGUGGGGAGCAAACAGGAUUAGAUACCCUGGUAGUCCACGCUGUAAACGAUGAUUACUAGGUGUCGGGGGGUCAAGGCCCUUCGGUGCCGCCGCAAACGCAUUAAGUAAUCCACCUGGGGAGUACGUUCGCAAG